rnacentral:piRNA from 1 species
AAAAAAUUCAAUGUUACAGCUGUGUGAU